rnacentral:tRNA from 1 species
GAGAGAUGGCUGAGUGGWUGAUAGCCCUGRUCUUGUCAACUGGUAUGGUUUCUAUUUGCGAA